rnacentral:rRNA from 1 species
AUACGGAAGGUCCGGGCGUUAUCCGGAUUUAUUGGGUUUAAAGGGAGCGCAGGCGGAGAUGCAAGCGUGACGUCAAAUUUCGGGGCUCAACCCCGUCUCGCGUCGCGAACUGCGUCCCUUGGUUGCGGGAAGGGGAGGCGGAACUCGUGGUGUAGCGGGGAAAUGCAUAGAUAUCACGAAGAACUCCGAUCGCGAAGGCAGCCUUCCGGCCCGUCAACGACGCUCAUGCUCGAAAGUGUGGGGAGCAAACAGGAUUAGAUACCCUGGUAGUCCACACUGUAAACGAUGAAUGCUAGGUGUAAGAGGUAUCGACCCCUUUUGUGCCGGAGUCAACACAAUAAGCAUUCCGCCUGGGGAGUACGGCCGCAAGGUUGAAACUCAAAUGAAUUGACGGGG